GUAGGGAAUAUUGGGCAAUGGAGGCAACUCUGACCCAGCCAUGCCGCGUGCAGGAAGACGGUCCUCUGGAUUGUAAACUGCUUUUGAAUGGGAAGAACACUACCCUUGCGAGGGUAUUUGACGGUACUAUUAGAAUAAGCACCGGCCAACUCCGUGCCAGCAGCCGCGGUAAUACGGAGGGUGCAAGCGUUAUCCGGAUUUAUUGGGUUUAAAGGGUGCGUAGGCGGCUUGAUAAGUCUGGGGUUAAAGGCGGCAGCUUAACUGUACGCAUGCCCUAGAUACUGUUGAGCUUGAGUGACCUGGAGGUAGCUGGAAUUCCCUGUGUAGCGGUGAAAUGCAUAGAUACGGGGAGGAAUACCGAUUGCGAAGGCAUGUUACUACGGGUAAACUGACGCUGAUGCACGAAAGCGUGGGGAUCAAACAGGAUUAGAUACCCCUGUAGUCC
rnacentral:rRNA from 1 species